CUUUUAAAGCUUUGUGGUUUAAACUGGUCUUUAUGAGAAUGAGAAGGUUUUAAUUUAAUAAGCAGCUUAUUGCUUGGUUACUCUGGAGGUUUGUUUUGUUUAUGAUUUACUUUUCUAUUUUAUUUACAAUGAUUGAUUGUGUCGUUAUAGUAGGUAAUCAUGGGAGGGAGGAUGGGGUAUUUAUUAGGUAUAACGCUGAUAGGCAGAAAGUAAGGGUUAGGACAGUGCAGACAGGUUGGUCUUGUAGUAUUGUAUCAAGGAUAGAGCCAGACAGAUUGACAGAGGUCAAACCUACAUCUUGUAACCUUAAGAUGGAGGCUACAUGUCACUCACACUACAGCCCACAGCAUUUCCACUAGCCCAGUUCACCCUCUGCUCAGGGUCUAAGAACUGAAACUAAAUAAUUCCUGACCAACGACCAUGCAGGGUUAACCAACCAGGCAAGGUAAUGGUGUGCACAGACUGAUAACAUGGUAGUUUGUAAUCACAGACUGAUCACACACUGAUAACAUGAUCGUGAAGUAAUAUAGUAGCAUGUGAUCACACACACUUGUAACAUGAUAGUGCAGGAAUGUGAUAACAUGUAAUCACAUAUUGAUCACAUGAUAGGGUGGUAAUGUGAUCAUGUGUAAUCACAGAAUGAGAAAAUGACAGUGAGGUAAUUUGAUAAUGUAUGUUCACAGACGUAUAACAUGACAAUCUUAUUACUUCAUAAUAUAGUGGUAUAGUGGUAUAAUACCAGUGGUAACAUGAUAAUACUGUGUGUGAUCGCAGACUGAUGAUAUUACUGUGUGGUAAUAUGAUAAUACCAUGUGUGAUUAUAGACUGAUAACAUGACAGUGUGGUAAUGUAAUAAUACCAUGUGGGAUCAUAGGCUGAUAACAUGACAGUGUGGUAAUGUAAUAAUACCAUGUGGGAUCAUAGACUGAUAACAUGACAGUGUGGUAAUGUAAUAAUACCAUGUGGGAUCAUAGACUGAUAACAUGACAGUGAGGUAAAGGGAUAAUACCAUGUGUGAUCACAGACUGAUAACAUGACAGUGUGGUAAUGUAAUAAUACCAUGUGGGAUCAUAGACUGAUAACAUGACAGUGAGGUAAAGGGAUAAUACCAUGUGUGAUCACAGACUGAUAACAUGACAGUGAGGUAAAGGGAUAAUACCAUGUGUGAUCACAGACUGAUAACAUGACAGUGUGGUAAUGUGAAAAUACCAUGUGUGAUCAUAGACUGAUUAUAACAUGUCCUAGCAUGUAUACCUCACCCUGUACCACUGAACUUGUCUUUUACUUAGUGAUUAGCUCAGGGGCUGUAGCUAAAAUGGCAUCCUAUUAUCUAUGUAGUACCCACUUUCCAUCCACGAGGGAUCUCAUCUAGUAGUGUGCUAUGUAAGUGGUAGGGUGCCAUUUGGGAUGCAGAGGUUUGUCUGUGCGUUUUCUCUGGUUGGCUGCUGGCAGCUACUCCAGACCCUGAACCAUCCAGACUGUUACGUCCUUCUUUAUUAUUACUGGACUUGUUAUGAAAUGUCUGCUUGUCUGGAGAGAGAAAAGAAAAUCAGAAAAUGAUUUUUUGUGACUAGACUUACAACAUGC
ensembl:lncRNA